GACAGAGGAUGCAAGCGUUAUCCGGAAUCAUUGGGCGUAAAGAGCGUGUAGGCGGCCAGAUAAGUCCGCUGUGAAAUCUCGAGGCUCAACUUCGAGCUGUCGGUGGAAACUGUCUGGCUAGAGUCCGGAAGAGGAGAAUGGAAUUCCUGGUGUAGCGGUGAAAUGCGCAGAUAUCAGGAAGAACACCCGUGGCGAAGGCGGUUCUCUGGGACGGUACUGACGCUGAGACGCGAAAGCGUGGGGAGCGAACAGG
rnacentral:rRNA from 1 species